AAGCUCGCCAGAGGAAAAAGGAAACAGAAACUCCGCAACUUGCGCCUUGGAAAUACUGCCGGCUAGCGCUGCGGGAAACGGCUCCCCUUAACUCUGAAGUUCCGCGAUCUUCUCUUUGUGCGCGGGCGGAUGGAUCAACGCCGCCAAGUAGAAAAAGAACGUCCCAGGUCUGUUGAAGCACUAAGAAAAGCAGAAAAAGAAAGGGGAGCCAGGGAAGGGCUGGCAGGCUGUGCAAUUUAAGGGAGCACCAGAAAAACUGGCAAUCAAAUAAUAUAUUAAUGUAAUAUUUUAAAAAGUAAAAAUUAAUGCAGGAAAUCCGGGAGGAACAAAAUAAGAGUCAUGUGUACCUUAACAACAGGGUAAGGUCUGAGGAUUGCGUCAUUAGGCGAUUUUGUUGCUGUACGAACACCACAGAAUGUACUUUGACGACCUAGAUGGUGGAGCCUGGACACACCUCGGCUCUGUGGUGUGGCCUGCUGCUUCCAGGCUGCAAACCUGACAGCAUGGGGCUGUACUGAAUACCGCAGACCAUUGUAAUUCAUGGGGAAAGCGCGAAUGCAGUCCCCCACUACAACAAAUUAUGCAGUCGAGUUUUCCACAUUUGGGAAUAUCACAGGGGUCAGCACAUCCGGAGUGCAAUCGAUGAGCCCCACGCUGGGAAAAACCACCUUCGUGAUCAUGGUAUCUUCCCUGCCAGGUAAGUAUUUGAAUUCCCAUUUAUUGAAGGAAUGGAUUAACAAGUAAAUAUAUGCAUGAAUACAAGCCCACAUGAGUAGGGGAACAGAUCGUUUUCUUUGCUCAGAAAAAUAAUCCUUCCUCCAAAUGUGUACCAGGACAGUAUGUCUACCUGCCUGCCCCUGAAAUUUAUGGGUUUCUAAAAUAGGUCUUACCCAUCUUACCUGUGGUUAUCUUAUAUUAGGUGAUCACCAACCAGUUACUAAGAUACCUGCUGUCACUUAGAAUCCUAAGUUUUCUUUACUGGUAUUUCCUUAUAUUCCUCACUCUUGCUUCCUUUGUUUGCGUUAACUGGAAUUUUCUCUCUCAAGCAACCUAAUCACAGAGCCUCCCAGCCCGAUGCUACAAAGAGCCGCAUGCUGCCAGUUUCCUUGUGGGCAGGGACCUAUGUAUUAUAAUGGUGAAUAUAUUUAUACUUGAAUCCACAGAGAAGACACAGUAGACUAGUCAUACCAUUGUGAGUAGUGCUCAGAUUCUUUCUUGACCCCCCAUCAUCCAAAAAUAUACCUUUCCAGUGUGGCAGUCUUGAACUUUUCCAAAUUCAGCUGCUGUUGGAGCUCUUCUGUUUUUCCCAGGGAAGGCCGGAGAACUGUAUUUCUGGCCAGAGCUGCUGCAGAAGGUCUCUGUUCGGCAUCAGGUUGGAUCAUGUUCUGAUGAUAUAGGACCAAGAGGAAAGAAACAGAAGCUUCACUAUUGGGAAAAAUCUUCCCAUUCAAGCCAACUCCAACCCAGCUUCUCCUGGUGGAUUUGAGAGAAACCAAUCAGCUUCAUUUUCAACUUCUUCUAUGACUCCAGAGGAUUCACUUUGCAUCUUGUGACAAAUGAAUAUAUUACCUGAAAAAAAAAUGACAGGAUAGAUGUAAGUAAUGACUGUAUUCAUUCUGAAUGAUCAUGUGGUCAUCUUCUGCCCAUGAGGAAUAGUAACGUACCACAUGGGGGUGAUGCCCAAGCACUGCGUGAGCAUAAACUUCAUGCAAAGCCGAAUUCCUAUGAGACAGAAAAGCAUUGAGGAAUAAAAACAUCAAUCAAGAUAAUGCACACAAAAAUGUUUCUUAAAAAUAUGAGGCUUUACUAGCAAUGGCAGAAUAUUUAUUGAGAGCUCACUGCUUGCUUACUAUUUUAUCUCGAUUGAAGAAAUAAUUUUUUAUAGGACUCUGGAGUGAAGGGAUUAAUAUUGACCAGAGCCAAUGAGGUCAUCUCAUCCUUGAGGGGAGCAGGUGUGAGCUUCAAAUGCUUAGGGCCUCUGGAAGGAAGCUUCCCUGUUGGAGAAAUCACCAACCGGCUCAGCAUGGUCUGAAUGAGGAUGACAAAAGAAGCAGAUACAGGCAAUAUGCUUACUGUACAGCCUGCAGAACGGAGUUGCUGCACAGGGGGAAAGCGAAGUUCCCAGGAGUAAGAUGUGCAAGAAGCGGGCAGCCUUGCAUCUCAGGGCUGAGUUCCCUCAACUGUGUGCUUGAGGGAAGUUCUCCCCUUGCAGACACACUGCUGAGUGAUAAGGAAGCACCUAGACUCCACUCUGACCAGACUUGGUUCUGAGGCCUAUGAAAUGUUGAUGGGAAGAACAGAAGCAGGAAAAUCUAUCUAUUCAAAUUUGCAAGACGUGGAAACUUUUAUUCACCUUCCUGGUUAGACUGUUCCUUUGUCAAAGUAAAGCUAAGGCCAUGGAAAAUGAGCUAUUUGAGAGUUUGUCGCUCCAAGGAAGAACAUGCUGGCCUAAUUGUCCCCCAAGUCAGGAGAGAGAAUUGUAAAAAACACUUAAACAGGCCUAAGUAAAGGUCCAGCACAUUAUUUAUUUAAGACUGAAUUAGAACUGAGUCAUUCCGACUCUGAAAAAAGAGUGUUGUUGGAUUCUUAUGUAUUUAAUGGGUCUGCCCUAUUGAAAACCAUUGUGAAGUAUGGUUUCCCAAGCAAGAAAUGACACUUUCACUGUCAGUCUUUCUAGGAGUCUGGCAGAAUCCAGGACCGGGAUUACCCUUAUUUAUGAAGCGACCUUAGACUAACAGUGGCUCUCUGGGUCUCCAGACAAUUGGCCAGGGACUCUAAAAACCAGAAACAAAGUUGAGAGAACUCCAUGCUGGUGGAGAAAAACAGCUGGCCUUUAUCACCAGAAUGUGCCCCAUAGAAGCAGCAAAGCAGCAAGCGACGUUCUUAAACAAGGGCCUGUGGGCCUCGUCAAGAUCUGGAGGAAUCAUCUACGACUCACUGCUGAGUGAGAGGGCUAGGCAGUGUCUUUAAGGUCCUGCCAGCUUUAACAUUGUAUGCUUUUUCUUUUGUUCAAUCUCUCACCACAACUGGAAGUGUUGCCUCAACUACACAGGAGAAAGUUUGCAGUAACUUAGAGAAAACAUUAUUUUAAUCACCAGUGUAUGUUCUCCUGCUCCCUGGACAAAUCCAUCAGCAGCGGCAACACUGACCAGGUCCAGAUUGGGGCCGCUGCGGUGGAUGUGAAUCCAUUGAAACUAGGGGUCUCCAGUGCUCCUGACUCCUCACAGCUCUGUUCCUAUGACAAGGAUGGUCAGCAAAGCCAGCAACCUUGAAGGGGGACCUUCUUCUAAUCUCCUCCCUGCCUGCUGAGAGAGUGUACAGAAGCAGCCACUUGUCAGCUGCGAUGAAUCCAAUGAUAAUUACAUAAAUCAUUAACAAUACUUGAUAUUUGCCCAUCACAUUUCUCAUUUCAAAGUGCUCAUAAAAUUGUAUCUCAUGGGUGGCACUGCCGGCACAACAGAAUUCCAAGGAAGGAUUACGGGCUAAGUAAAUAAAGCCUGGAGGCUGCUU
rnacentral:lncRNA from 1 species